rnacentral:rRNA from 1 species
CGGCGGACGGGUGAGUAAUGCCUAGGAAUCUGCCUGGUAGUGGGGGACAACGUUUCGAAAGGAACGCUAAUACCGCAUACGUCCUACGGGAGAAAGCAGGGGACCUUCGGGCCUUGCGCUAUCAGAUGAGCCUAGGUCGGAUUAGCUAGUUGGUGAGGUAAUGGCUCACCAAGGCGACGAUCCGUAACUGGUCUGAGAGGAUGAUCAGUCACACUGGAACUGAGACACGGUCCAGACUCCUACGGGAGGCAGCAG